rnacentral:tRNA from 1 species
GCGGUCGCUGCGUGACGGCGAUGCAGGGCGGGCUCGCAGCCGGCCCGGGCCGGCGGUCGCGGCGCCGGAGACCCUG